rnacentral:tRNA from 1 species
GCAGUCGUGGCCGAGUGGUUAAGGCGUUGGACUCGAAAUCCAAUGGGGUUUCCCCGCACAGGUUCGAAUCCUGUCGGCUGCG